rnacentral:misc_RNA from 1 species
GCAAACUUGGUCAUUUAGAGGAAGUAAAAGUCGUAACAAGGUUUCCGUAGGUGAACCUGCGGAAGGAUCAUUUCUGUAAACACAUAUAAACACCGGGGGUUGAUGGGUGUGAUGGGGGGGUCAUUAUGGGCUCUGUCCAUUAUGGGCUCUGUCAUUCCUUGACCCUGUGUUUGCAAACAAAAACACCCUUAAAAACAGCUUUAUAGUGUCUGAAUCUUAACUAGUUUAAUAUAAAAACAACUUUCAACAACGGAUCUCUUGGCUCUUGCAUCGAUGAAGAACGCAGC